rnacentral:rRNA from 1 species
AGACAAUAGAUACCCGGGUAGUCCCGGCCCUAAACGAUGAACACUUGGCGUAGCGGGUUUUACCCCCGCUGUGCCGGAGCUAAACGCGUUAAAGUGUUCCGCCUGGGGAGUACGGUCGCAAGGCCGAAACUCAAAGGAAUUGACGGGGGCCCGGCACAAGCGGUGGAGCAUGUGGUUUAAUUCGACGCAACGCGAAGAACCUUACCUGGGCUCGAAGCGUAGAGGAAUCCGGAUGAAAGUUCAGCGCCCGCAAGGGCCUUUACGUAGGUGCUGCAUGGCUGUCGUCAGCUCGUGUCGUGAGAUGUUGAGUUAAGUCCCGCAACGAGCGCAACCCCUAUCUUUGGUUGCUACCCGCAAGGGGCACUCUAAAGAAACCUGUCGGCCAAAACGCCGAAGGAAGGUGGGGAUGACGUCAAGUCCUCAUGGCCUUUAUGUCCAGGGCCACACACGUGCUACAAUGGCCGGUACAAAGCGUCGCAAACCCGGCGAGGGGGUAGCCAAUCGCAAAAAAACCCGGGUUCUCAGUUCGGAUUGCAGUCUGCAACUCGACUGCAUGAAGCUGGAAUCGC